rnacentral:rRNA from 1 species
AUUGAACGCUGGCGGCAGGCCUAACACAUGCAAGUCGAGCGGAGCUGCGGACGGGCGAGUAAUGACUAGGAAGCUGCCUGGCAGUUGGGGAUAGCGUCCGGAAGCGGACGCUAAUAUAGCAUCCUUUCAGCUGAGCCUAGGUCGGAUUAGCUAGUUGGUAAGGUAAAGGCCUACCAAGGCGACGAACCGUAACUGGUCUGAGAGGAGGAUCGGUCACACUGGAACUGAGACACGGUCCAGACUCCUACGGGAGGCAGCAGUGGGGAAUAUUGGACAAUGGGCGAAAGCCUGAUGGAGCCAUGCCGCGUGUGUGAAGAAGGUCUUCGGAUUGUAAAGCACUUUAAGUUGGGAGGCGUUACCAACACAGUAAGCACCGGCUAACUUCGUGCCAGCAGCCGCGGUAAUAC